UACGUAGGGGGCAAGCGUUGCCCGGAUUUAUUGGGCGUAAAGAGCGUGUAGGCGGUCAGGUAGGUCCGUUGUGAAAACUCGAGGCUCAACCUCGAGACGCCGAUGGAAACCAUCUGACUAGAGUCCGGAAGAGGAGAGUGGAAUUCCUGGUGUAGCGGUGAAAUGCGCAGAUAUCAGGAAGAACACCCGUGGCUAAGGCGGCUCUCUAGUACGGUACUGACGCUGAGACGCGAAAGCGUGGGGAGCGAACAGG
rnacentral:rRNA from 1 species